ACAGGUGCUGCAUGGCUGUCGUCAGCUCGUGUCGUGAGAUGUUGGGUUAAGUCCCGCAACGAGCGCAACCCUUGCCUUUAGUUGCCAGCAGUUCGGCUGGGCACUCUAAAGGGACUGCCGGUGUUAAACCGGAGGAAGGUGGGGAUGACGUCAAGUCCUCAUGGCCUUUAUGACCAGGGCUACACACGUACUACAAUGGCCGAUACAAAGGGCAGCGACACUGCGAGGUGAGGCCAAUCCCGUAAAAUCGGUCUCAGUCCGGAUUGGAGUCUGCAACUCGACUCCAUGAAGUUGGAAUCGCUAGUAAUCGUGGAUCAGCAUGCCACGGUGAAUACGUUCCCGGGCCUU
rnacentral:rRNA from 1 species